rnacentral:rRNA from 1 species
UACGUAGGGUGCAAGCGUUAAUCGGAAUUACUGGGCGUAAAGGGAGCGUAGGCGGAUAGUUUAGUCAGAGGUGAAAGCCCUGGGCUCAACCUGGGAACUGCAUUCGAUACUGUCGAGCUAGAGUGUGGGAGAGGGUGGUGGAAUUCCCGGUGUAGCGGUGAAAUGCGUAGAUAUCGGGAGGAACAUCAGUGGCGAAGGCGACCGCCUGGCCCAACACUGACGCUGAGGUGCGAAAGCGUGGGUAGCAAACAGGAUUAGAUACCCUGGUAGU